GACCUUUACUUUCUUCUGCUCUUCUCCUUUUCCUCCUUUUACAGCUUUCCUCUGCACCAAAACAGGUCAAAGCUUGCUUUCUUCCAAUCCUGCUACUUUGUACAAAUGGACGAUUUCAGACUUCAAACUUGUGGCUCCCAAGACCAAGAAGACUGCGCAUAUAACCAGGGUUUUGGAGUAUUGAUUUUCAACAAUGAUUUCCCGUAAUUUACAUUUCGUGGCUCCCUAGCGAUUUCUCUGAGGUUUUUGGUUUGCUGAUCGGUUUAAGGGCGUGCUCACAUUUCACAUAUUCCAUCUCAUGCGCUACACCAUCUGAACUGUUGUGGAUAGCUACGUGCCUACGUUGUACAAAGUGACCAAGGAUGAAUCAUACUUGAAAUAUUUGUUGGGCAUGUGAGGAUUGCUUCCCCAAAGUGGUACAAGUGUACAACUUUUAUUUAUUAAUAAUAUUGUUCUUAUUAGUUUGCCAUUAUUUUUCAAUUGUGUAUGCUUGAUGAACUUUUAGUAACUGAUAUAUUGCUAGAUUCUAGCUAUAUUCUUAUGUUGUAGAUAUAUGAUAACUUGUGUAUUGAUUCUUUUGUUAA